GGGCAGUGCCCGGUACGAAGGUGCGGCCCCGCCGCUGUGUAGCCACAGGUGCGUGUCAGCGGGCCUGAGAGAGGACACAACCCCCCUCCGCCCAAGCUAGUGUAUCAGUCCCUCUCUAUAGCAUGGAAGUGUGAUAACUUGUUAAGCCUGGAGCAGAGCCAGAACUGGCUGCUGCUGGGGGAGCAGGUCAGAGAGGAGCACUGGCAGAAGCAACCUGACCUGCUGGCAGCAGAAUGGAGGAGCUGCAUGCAGGAAGAUAAGGGAGGGAGCAAUGAUCUGUCUGGAGAAGUGGGAUUUCAGUGCAGCUCCAAGCACAGAUGCACCGCCAGCAUGGGACAGCCUCAAUGUGUUUGCCACAGGGAAAUGAGUUGGCUCUGGAAGUGGAUCUUUCUGACAACCAUACACUUUUCCUGUUUCCACCCCACUUAGGUGGCUCAUGAAUGGAUCUCAGACAAGUCCUUGUGAUCAUGUAAGGAAGGAGCUAUUUAUGAGUGCAAAGGGAGAGUGUAACUGCACUAGUCAUGACUGACUUCAGUUUAAGAGACAUGUACCUGGAUACAUUUGUGAGCAUCACCUGGAGCUCAUCAGCAGAAGGUCACUUGGGCUGUCACAAGGCUGCCUGUGCAUGACUUUGCUCCUCUGUGAAAUGGAAGCAUUCAUAUGGAGAACAAAAGUAAUGUUGCUGCUCAGGGAAGAGAGAUUUUUCCUCAAGAACAUUAAAUGCAGGGGGAUUAUUUCACAAAAUUCUUAGCACAAAUGUUUUAAGCUAUCAGCACCUUGUUAAUAAAUAAUGCUAUGUGAAGUCCUAUUAAAAUACA
rnacentral:lncRNA from 1 species